UUUUGCCUCGGGACUCUGUCCAAG
rnacentral:misc_RNA from 1 species